GCCGGCUUAGCUCAUCUGGUAGAGCAACGGUUUUGUAAACCGUAGGUGGCCGGUUCGAGUCCGGCAGCCGGCUCCA
rnacentral:tRNA from 1 species